rnacentral:rRNA from 1 species
AGUGAUCGCUGGCGGUAGGCCUAACACAUGCAAGUCGAACGGCAGCACAGUAAGAGCUUGCUCUUACGGGUGGCGAGUGGCGGACGGGUGAGGAAUACAUCGGAAUCUACUUUUUCGUGGGGGAUAACGUAGGGAAACUUACGCUAAUACCGCAUACGACCUACGGGUGAAAGCAGGGGAUCUUCGGACCUUGCGCGAUUGAAUGAGCCGAUGUCGGAUUAGCUAGUUGGCGGGGUAAAGGCCCACCAAGGCGACGAUCCGUAGCUGGUCUGAGAGGAUGAUCAGCCACACUGGAACUGAGACACGGUCCAGACUCCUACGGGAGGCAGCAGUGGGGAAUAUUGGACAAUGGGCGCAAGCCUGAUCCAGCCAUACCGCGUGGGUGAAGAAGGCCUUCGGGUUGUAAAGCCCUUUUGUUGGGAAAGAAAAGCAGCAGGUUAAUACCCCGCUGUUCUGACGGUACCCAAAGAAUAAGCACCGGCUAACUUCGU